ensembl:lncRNA
AACACUUAAUCUCCGUGCCUUGUCUUGGAGGAGGGAGAAAGGACGGUGGGUGCAUUAUCCCUGAUCCUUCUAUUUUCCGAGACCCUCACUGGAGAUGUCUGCUGGUGGUGGGGGUGGGGAGAAUUGUGGGGAACCUUGACCCUGUUCCAGGACGGCUGCUAGUGUCAACUCCGACAGAUUUAUAGCCCAUUCAUUCAUGGGAACAAAAACCCUGCCACGGCUGGUCAUGGGACACGCAAUAGCAGUUAGUUCAGAAGAUAACAGCGGCAAUACCUCACCUCUCCAUUCAGGACUACAGAGCCGGCACCACUUUGGAGAUUUUUUUACCUUAUGCUGCUGCUAAGUCGCUUCAGUCGUGUCCGACUCUGUGUGACCCCAUAGACGGCAGCCCACCAGGCUCCUCUGUCCAUGGGAUUCUCCAGGCAAGAAC